rnacentral:rRNA from 1 species
UAGUCAUAUGGAUUCCUACGGGAGGCAGCAGUGAGGAAUAUUGGUCAAUGGGCGAGAGCCUGAACCAGCCAAGUCGCGUGAAGGAAGAAGGUUCUAUGGAUUGUAAACUUCUUUUAUAAGGGAAUAAAAAACGGCACGUGUGCUGUACUGUAUGUACUUUAUGAAUAAGGAUCGGCUAACUCCGUGCCAGCAGCCGCGGUAAUACGGAGGAUCCAAGCGUUAUCCGGAUUUAUUGGGUUUAAAGGGUGCGUAGGCGGACCAAUUAGUCAGUGGUGAAAGUUUGCAGCUCAACUGUAAAAUUGCCAUUGAAACUGUUGGUCUUGAGUGUAAAUGAGGUAGGCGGAAUGUGUUGUGUGGCGGUGAAAUGCUUAGAUAUAACACAGAACACCAAUUGCGAAGGCAGCUUACUGGGAUACAACUGACGCUGAGGCACGAAAGCGUGGGGAUCAAACAGGAUUAGAUACCCUGGUAGUCCACGCAGUAAACGAUGAAUACUAGCUGUAUGCGAUAUACUGUAUGUGGCAAAGCGAAAGCGUUAAGUAUUCCACCUGGGGAGUACGUUCGCAAGAAUGAAACUCAAAGGAAUUGACGGGGGCCCGCAUAAGCGGAGGAACAUGUGGUUUAAUUCGAUGAUACGCGAGGAACCUUACCCGGGCUUGAAAUGCAUCUGACCGACGAGGAAACUUGUCCUCUAGCAAUAGCAGAUGUGUAGGUGCUGCAUGGUUGUCGUCAGCUCGUGCCGUGAGGUGUCGGCUUAAGUGCCAUAACGAGCGCAACCCUCAUCAUUAGUUACUAACAGGUCAUGCUGAGGACUCUAAUGAGACUGCCAGCGUAAGCUGUGAGGAAGGUGGGGAUAACGUCAAAUCAGCACGGCCCUUACGUCCGGGGCGACACACGUGUUACAAUGGGGGGGACAGCAGGCAGCUACACGGCGACGUGAUGCCAAUC